GACGAACGCUGGCGGCGCGCCUAACACAUGCAAGUCGAACGAGCGAGCGAGAGCUUGCUUUCUUGAGCGAGUGGCGAACGGGUGAGUAACGCGUGAGGAACCUGCCUCAAAGAGGGGGACAACAGUUGGAAACGACUGCUAAUACCGCAUAAGCCCACGGUGCCGCAUGGCACAGAGGGAAAAGGAGCAAUCCGGUUUGAGCUGGCCUCGCGUCCGAUUAGCUAGUUGGUGGGGUAACGGCCCAACAAGGCGACGAUCGGUGGCCGGACUGAGGGGGUGACCCGCCACAUUUGGACUGAGACACGGCCCAGACCCCUACGGGAGGCAGCAGUAGGGAAUAUUACACAAUGGGGGAAACCCUGAUGCAGCGACGCCGCGUGGAGGAAGAAGGUCUUCGGAUUGUAAACUCCUGUUGUUGGGGAAGAUAAUGACGGUACCCAACAAGGAAGUGACGGCUAACUACGUG
rnacentral:rRNA from 1 species